rnacentral:rRNA from 1 species
UGAACGCUGGCUACAGGCUUAACACAUGCACGUCGAGGGGAAACGACGGGGAAGCUUGCUUCCCCGGGCGUCGACCGGCGCACGGGUGAGUAACGCGUAUCCAACCUGCCUCUGACUGAGGGAUAACCCGUCGAAAGUCGGCCUAAUACCUCAUGGCAUCGUCUGCGGGCAUCCAACGACGAUUAAAGAUUUCAUCGGUCAGGGAUGGGGAUGCGUCUGAUUAGCUUGUUGGCGGGGUAACGGCCCACCAAGGCUACGAUCAGUAGGGGUUCUGAGAGGAAGGUCCCCCACAUUGGAACUGAGACACGGUCCAAACUCCUACGGGAGGCAGCAGUGAGGAAUAUUGGUCAAUGGGCGGGAGCCUGAACCAGCCAAGUAGCGUGCAGGAUGACGGCCCUAUGGGUUGUAAACUGCUUUUAUGCGGGGAUAAAGUGAGGGACGUGUCCUUCAUUGCAGGUACCGCAUGAAUAAGGACCGGCUAAUUCCGUG